AACUAACGCUAUUAUUGUUACAGUUUCUGUACUUUAUUGG
rnacentral:misc_RNA from 1 species